rnacentral:rRNA from 1 species
GACGAACGCUGGCGGCGUGCUUAACACAUGCAAGUCGAACGGAAAGGCCCUGCUUUUGUGGGGUGCUCGAGUGGCGAACGGGUGAGUAACACGUGAGUAACCUGCCCUUGACUUUGGGAUAACUUCAGGAAACUGGGGCUAAUACCGGAUAGGAGCUCCUGCUGCAUGGUGGGGGUUGGAAAGUUUCGGCGGUUGGGGAUGGACUCGCGGCUUAUCAGCUUGUUGGUGGGGUAGUGGCUUACCAAGGCUUUGACGGGUAGCCGGCCUGAGAGGGUGACCGGCCACAUUGGGACUGAGAUACGGCCCAGACUCCUACGGGAGGCAGCAGUGGGGAAUAUUGCACAAUGGGCGGAAGCCUGAUGCAGCAACGCCGCGUGCGGGAUGACGGCCUUCGGGUUGUAAACCGCCUUCGCCUGUGAUGAAGCGUGAGUGACGGUAAUGGGUAAAGAAGCACCGGCUAACUACGUG